rnacentral:rRNA from 1 species
GACGAACGCUGGCGGCGUGCCUAAUACAUGCAAGUAGAACGCUGAAGCGAGGAGCUUGCUCUUCUUGGAUGAGUUGCGAACGGGUGAGUAACGCGUAGGUAACCUGCCUUGUAGCGGGGGAUAACUAUUGGAAACGAUAGCUAAUACCGCAUAACAAUGGAUGACACAUGUCAUUUAUUUGAAAGGGGCAAUUGUUCCACUACAAGAUGGACCUGCGUUGUAUUAGCUAGUAGGUGAGGUAAUGGCUCACCUAGGCGACGAUACAUAGCCGACCUGAGAGGGUGAUCGGCCACACUGGGACUGAGACACGGCCCAGACUCCUACGGGAGGCAGCAGUAGGGAAUCUUCGGCAAUGGGGGCAACCCUGACCGAGCAACGCCGCGUGAGUGAAGAAGGUUUUCGGAUCGUAAAGCUCUGUUGUAAGUCAAGAACGGGUGUGAGAGUGGAAAGUUCACACUGUGACGGGAGCUUACCAGAAAGGGACGGCUAACUACGU